AUAGGGGAGCCGGAGGGAAACCGAGUCUUAAUUGGGCGUUAAGUUGCAGGGUAUAGACCCGAAACCCGGUGAUCUAGCCAUGGGCAGGUUGAAGGUUGGGUAACACUAACUGGAGGACCGAACCGACUAAUGUUGAAAAAUUAGCGGAUGACCUGUGGCUGGGGGUGAAAGGCCAAUCAAACCGGGAGAUAGCUGGUUCUCCCCGAAAGCUAUUUAGGUAGCGCCUCGUGAAUUCAUCUCCGGGGGUAGAGCACUGUUUCGGCUAGGGGGCCAUCCCGGCUUACCAACCCGAUGCAAACUGCGAAUACCGGAGAAUGUUAUCACGGGAGACACACGGCGGGUGCUAACGUCCGUCGUGAAGAGGGAAACAACCCAGACCGCCAGCUAAGGUCCCAAAGUCAUGGUUAAGUGGGAAACGAUGUGGGAAGGCCCAGACAGCCAGGAUGUUGGCUUAGAAGCAGCCAUCAUUUAAAGAAAGCGUAAUAGCUCACUGGUCGAGUCGGCCUGCGCGGAAGAUGUAACGGGGCUAAACCAUGCACCGAAGCUGCGGCAGCGACGCUGAUGCGUUGUUGGGUAGGGGAGCGUUCUGUAAGCCUGCGAAGGUGGCCUGUGAGGGUU
rnacentral:rRNA from 1 species